UGGAGAUGCUGGGUAUUGAUCCCAGUACCUCUCGCAUGCUAAGCGAGCGCUCUACCAUCUGACCUACAUCCCC
rnacentral:tRNA from 1 species